ensembl:lncRNA
AUGACCGCAGACUUCCACCGUAACUUCAUUCGGGUGUUCAUGGUCCAUGGACAGCGAGCGGUCUUAGAGACCACCACGGAGAAUCAGCAGGUUUACCAGGUGAUGGAUGAGUCUGAGUCAGUGUCCCGCUACCGGAUUCCACAAAGACCAGUUGACCACAGCACACAGUACGACCACCAGCAGAUUCUUAUCAUGGAAGACGACCCCGUGGUCCGAAAAGCAGCUACUCACCUGUACAACAAGCAUCCAGACGUCAGCUCUGUCUAUGUCCUCGAUGAAAACCAAAGACCAAAACUCAUCCAUGGUGAGUCUAUACCUCUGUCAGAGGACAGCAGGCUGGUGCUGGUAGGACACGGGGCGAGGGACAACUCUGGAGAGAUGAGACUGGCAGGGCACAGAUCCAAAGAUGUGAGCAACAUCAUUCAGAGGACCUACAGGGUCAGAGACCGAAUCAAAACAACUAGUGUGGUGGCCUGUGAGGUCGGAUCAGAUAAACAGUUCACCCAUACCCUGCUGAAGGAGCUCCAUGAGGCCGCUGGCAUCGAGACAGAGCUGCACCUGAGGGAUGCUGUGCUGCAGGUCAGACACACAGGAGAGAAGAUCACACAGGAGAUCACCCCAGAAGGACUGCAAUGGAGACACAAAGACGACAGCAAGAAAGUGGUGGCGAAGCUGGACAGGAACGGAAAUGUCAUUACUAGGACCGAGCCGGGAAGGACGGGGGAGCCGGUGUUUACCAACCAAAGAAAUGUUCUCAUGAAUCGUAAUGACAGAAACAGCAGGCCACGGGGACCACAGAGAUUUAUAAACCUGGCAGUUUUUGAUCCGAUUCCCCCCAAUGAAAGGCAACAACUUAUCCACACCACUGACACACUGCAGGCCUUUGCUUGGGGAUUGUUUGACCCAAAACCACUCACAGCUCAACUGAAGACAGUCACCAUCCCACACAAUUCAGGAGAAUACGUACUACAUAUGAGAGAAAAACCAACAGCUGACAUGACGUGUUAUGAGGUUAGAUCAGGAGAAGACAUCAGAAAUCUCAUCCAUCACUACGCAGUGACCGGAGAGGCUGAGUCCUCAUACCUGAUGGUCAAUGACUGGAUAUAUCGGGUUGAUCCUAGAAGUCUGUAUGUGUAUCCAGUUGGAAAAAGGCUGAACAACAACCAGGUAGGAAACAACAACAUCAUAGAUCAAGUCACACAAAGUGUUGAAGAACAGAAAGGCAAGGAGAAAUACCCAUACAUGAGGGAUAGCAUUCUGGAUGAGAGGAUCAUAACAAACCCACGAGAGACACAUGUGCAAUCUGUGAUAAACACUUCUGGUCUAAAAGGCAAAGAUGCUCUGAAACAAAGCUACAUUCAGUAUGUGAAAAACACUUUUCUUGGAGAACCCACAGCUGGUCUUACCCUGUCCACUGAGGCCUGGUACACCACAUACUUUACUGCAUCAGUUAUAUCUGAAUCUGCCAGAAAUUUCCGGACAUUCCCUCUGACCCUCAUGGCCCUGGACAUGGUUGGACACUCAGACAACAAUAUUCAACAGAUAGGCAGAGAGUUUUUUUUUGAUAACCACCCAAUGGCAAGAGGAGGUUCAUGGAUCGACCCAAGCAGUCGAGGAUUCACAGGCUCAGCAACACCUGAAGGUUCCAGUAAACUGACAAACUAUAAUCCACGUUACCGUAGGACCAAGGAGGAGUUAAUGGAAGACCUUUCAGUGGUCGUCGGAUGGGAAACUGACCUGAUGACAGAGUGGGUUAGAACUCUUGGCAGUGACGAGGUACUUAAAAGGGUGGAUGAACUAUCAGUGCAAUACAAGAUUUAUACAGAGAACUCAGAGGGAAAGAAGGCUUUCUUACGAUAUUUCACUGAAUAUCAAGAAGCGAUUAAACAACAGAGCAUUGUACCACCAUCAGAAGGUGGUGGGGAUCAUCCUGCGUCUGGGACAUUGGGGGGCCAUGAGGAUGGAUCCGUAACAACUCGAGACUUAAAUUCAGCCUCAGACUUGGAGAAUUCUUUCAAAUCUGAAUCUUAUUUCUCCAGAGCAUCUGCAGCAUUUGCUGAAGAGAUCCAUGCUCAGCUCACAGAGAAAUUUGCUGAGCGCCUGGCAGGACUGCGCCUUCAGGAGGGAAGUGCCCGGAUAGAGAACGGGCAGUUUGUGGCUCAGGUUGUGUCCCAGGAUCAUCCUGAUGCUGAGCCUGUUGAGUUUAGGGCUGAGCUGUCUCCAGAGAGUCAACACUACAGGGAGAGGCUGCUGCAGAACAUGGACUCAGCAGUCCAUGACAUGGAGGUGCACAGUUCAACGUCCCCCCAUCAGGUCAGCAAGAACGUAGAGCGCGCUGGAACUGCUGCUGGAACACUGGGUCUCCUGAUGGGGAUGAAAGGAGCAGUCCGUGCCUUUGAACAGGGACACAUUAAAGAUGGUGUGGUGGGCACUCUGCAGACAGUUCACGGAGUCACCGCCAUGACGGCAUCUGUUAUUGCCCAAAAAGCUCUGUCCUCAGAGACGAGAAUGGCCAGAGCAGCAGCUACAGUCAUGAGAAGCCCCGCAAUGAAGGGCUUCAUGAAAGUCAUACCGAUAGGCGGGAUCGCAUUUGGAGUUUACAGCCUUGAACAAGAUCUGGAGAGAGGCGACGCCCUGGGAUACAUUGAUGCUGUUUUAGAUACUAGUAUGAUUAGUUUGGAUGUUGUUGAACUGGCUCAACCUGAACUGGCACCUGUUAUAAUUCCAAUUAAUCUGGCUCUGUCGGUCAUCCGGAUGGCCGUGGAUGAUGUUUAUAUGGGCGUCCAGAAUGAGCUAAACAGCCUCCCGGCUGAUGCUGGAGUUUUGAAGAAAGUGGGGGCUGUUAUUGUUGGCCUUGGUAAAGGACUAUUGAACUUUAGGAUUCAUGUGGACAGUGUGUUCUAUGAUUGGCAUUAUGAUGAAAUUGUGGAGGGACUAAAACUUGUUGCACAGAUCUCAGACUAUCAUCAGUAUUACAGAGUCACAAAGGAACAGGAUGGAACAACCGCCAUCGACUUCAGUGGUGGCGCCUCCUCUUGGAAUGGAGGAUCUAUUAGCUUCACCCUGGCUGAGCAGGGCCAGUCUCAGUUCUGCAUGGACGAUUUUGUUUCUAGUGAUGAGAGUUUUGGGAGGAGGUGCUGGGAUGUUGAUACACAUGGAAGCAAAGACAUCAUUCUUGGUCUGGGAGAAUCUCAUCAGUUAGAGUACCAAACACUACAGAACAAAUUACUGAUGUUCAUACCAGCCGGCUCAGUGACUGUGGUUUCAGGCUAUGAGUCACUUUCAUAUUCACGAUACGGGACGUAUGUGGGAAACCAGGACUCUAAUCGGUUCUUUGCAGUUCAGACAUCAGAGGACCAACAUGUGAUCAAGGUCAUGCUGAGUUACUACUACAAGCUUUAUGGGAAACCUGGUGACGACACGUUCUUCCUCGGCCCACAGAGAAGUUAUGUUGAAGGCUCUGGAGGAAAAGACACUUACAUCAUUCCAGCAAAUGGAGGAGAAACAAUCAUCAACAACUAUGAUCCCUCCAAAGACCUGGACACACUUCACUUCAGUGUCGACUACAGUCACAUUUCUGUGUCUAAAUCUGGAAACGAUGUCCUGUUAAGAUAUGAAGGCAGCCACUCUGUAACGAUUCAGAACUGGUUUUUAGGGGAAGCCUAUUGUCACAUGAACAUGAUGUCAGGAGACGGAGUCUUAUUUGAGGUUUCCCCCGUGGUCCUGUUUUCUGUUCGGCUGGUGGCCAAAGCAAUUAACAAGAUGUUUCUGACUCAUGGCGAGACCGUGGACACGUCAGGGCCUCUGUUACGCACAGUUACAAACAUCUUUGGGUCCCGUUAUAACGAUGUGAUCGUUGGAAACGGAGAAAAGAACGUGAUCGAUGGGGGAGGAGGGUGGGAUUGUCUGAGAGGUGGUGAAGGAGAAGACAUGUACGUAGUAAGAAAAGAGUCUUCAGUGAUGAUUGAAAAUUACUCCACAGACGAAAAAACUGAUGUGGCCAUAAUAGAAGCAGACCUUCAUGCCUUCAACAUCAGAGUAGAAGGUGAUGAUGUUCACCUGGAAGCUCUCCAUGAUGAUACAGCCAUCCAUGUGACCUUAGUGAAGUGGUUCAGGUCAGCAGCUGACAGACAUUUGGUGGUGGUCACAAAGGAUCUGGUCAUGUUCGCAAUCUCUGAUAACAAGACCGACUGCCAGCAGAGAAAGACACUCACCAAAUGCAUAAGAAGCCACAGCAUCGACUACAACAGCUCCCAGUCUGCCCUGAAGGUGGACCUGCAGGAGGACGAGGCGUUAGGCGGCGUGACCGAGGUCCGCGGGUCACAGUUUGAUGAUGUCAUCAAAGGAAACAAAGAACACAACGUGUUCAUCCCCGGAAAAGGGCAGGACUUCAUAGAAGGCAGAGGAGGAGAGGACUGGUACAUCAUCACACCAGGACAAGGGACAAAAACCAUCAAUAACCAAUCACCAGACCUGGCCUUGGACCUUCUCUUCCUGAAAGAACAAUAUCAACAUAUAACAUGUUCUUGUGAGGGACAGAACAUCGUCAUGUCGGUGCAGGGCAGCCGAACAGUCAUCCUUCAGAACUGGUUCUCUUCAGAGAAGCAUCAGCACCUGCAGGUCCAGACCAGUGAUGGGGUAACAGCCGCUCUGACAGCCAACACCAGCAGCUGUGACGAGGCUGUAAUGCUCCCAAUAACCAUUGAUUACAGAAACCAGGAACCUGAACCCCUCCGAACAACAGGACUAUCCGGCUGUUACCGCUACAGGGGCAGGUAUUCAGAGGAAACCUUCUGUGGGCUCAGAGGCAAAGUGAUGAAGAUGGAUGCAGCUCCUUCAGUCAAAGACAUGUACGGCUCCAAAGGUUACGACAUCAUGGUGGGGAACAGCAAUGAGAACCUGCUUGAUCCGAACACCGGGGGCGCACUGAUGUCAGGAGGAGAAGGAAAAGACACUUACGUAAUCAAGCGUGGAUACGGAAGGAGCUUAUUGAUCGAUAACUUUGCAGAAGAUCAGAGUAUUGAUACUGUGCUGGUUGACAUGGAUUUCCUCGAUGGCAGCCAGGUCAUGUUGGACUCUUCAUCAACAGAAGAUCUGUUUGUCACGAUAAAGACCAAAAAGGAGGAUUUUCAAAUCAGUCUGCUCGGCUUCAAAAAAGGGUCAGAACAUCAGCACCUCGAGCUUCAGAGCUCUGAUGGAGUCCGUUUUAAACUGAAACCGCUGAACUCAAGCGGAGAUGUCCUGCUCUUCCAGACUGAAGCUUUCAAAGUGACGCUGCAACAAUCCCAGCAGGUGGACUGCCGUCUGGACUUCAGCUCAGUCAGAAAUCUGUCCAAGGUCCAGACAGUGCAGGGCUGCCCCUCCCAGUCCAACGACAUUCUGGGCAACAGCCAGGACAACGCCCUGUUUGGUGGGUGGAAGGAUGACACUUUGGAUGGAGGUGAGGGAGAUGACACGCUGAUAGGAGGAAGUGGAGAUGACCUCCUGAUUGGUGGGCUGGGCGAUGACAUCCUUUAUGGUGAGGACGGAGAUGACACCCUUUUGGGAAACUCAGGCUGGGACGUCUUCAUUCCUGGACCAGGUGCUGAUCUGGUGGAUGGAGGUCAUGGCAGAGACACUGUGGUGUACCGCGGCGAUCAUGAGAAGGGUAAAGGUGUCUAUGUGAACCUGCUGACUGGACAAGGCCGCUAUGCCGACGCUGAGGGGGACGUGCUGAAGGACGUGGAAACUGUGAUCGGCACCAUCUACUCUGACGUCUUGGUGUCUGGAUAUGAAAGUUCUCUUCUCAAAGGGUCAGAUGGCAACGACAUCUUGGUGUCCACUGGUGGAGACUACCUGAUGGGGGGCGAUGGAAAUGACAUCUAUAUGUUGGCUUUCCAUCACGGUUCAGUUGCAAUUGACAACUGUGCAAAGGACAACGGCACAGACGUUUUGUACCUGAGCUCAAAGUCAACACUGCUGUUUGACUGCCAGAUUUCACCUGACAGAGUCCUUCUGACCUUCUUUGGACAUAACCAAGCUAAGGUACAGAUCUUACUGCCAGGCUGGGUCAGUGAUGAUGCUGAAUGUGGUCGUCUGGUCCUGGUUUUUAAAGAUGUAAAGGCUUCAGUGGGCAGGUUGCUUCAAGAGUGUCGGCUUAGACAGACAGAAUCAUUUUGGUCUUGGGUCAUAAUCUGGAUAAUCUGUGUCAGUCUUGUCAUUUUCCACUGCGUGUUUUUGUUUCAUAUGUUUCAAAGAUUCAUCAGAAGGGGGCGACAACUAAAGGCUCAGAAACAGCCUGAAACUCCUGACGAUGAAGACGCAGAUUCCCCCUUAGCUGCGGCCAUGUAG